rnacentral:rRNA from 1 species
GACAGAGGGUGCAAACGUUGUUCGGAAUUACUGGGCGUAAAGCGAGUGUAGGCGGUCUCAUAAGUCGGGUGUGAAAGCCCUGGGCUCAACCCAGGAAGUGCACUCGAUACUGCGAGGCUAGAGUAUCGGAGAGGUUGGUGGAAUUCUCGGUGUAGAGGUGAAAUUCGUAGAUAUCAGGAGGAACACCGAUGGCGAAGGCAGGUCUCUGGGCAUUAACUGACGCUGAGGAGCGAAAGCAUGGGGAGCGAACAGG